rnacentral:rRNA from 1 species
CAGUAGCCGCGGUAAUACGAAGGGUGCAAGCGUUACUCGGAAUUACUGGGCGUAAAGCGUGUGUAGGUGGUUGUUUAAGUCUGUCGUGAAAGCCCUGGGCUCAACCUGGGAAUUGCGAUGGAUACUGGGCGACUAGAGUGCGGUAGAGGAUAGUGGAAUUUCCGGUGUAGCAGUGAAAUGCGUAGAGAUCGGAAGGAACAUCUGUGGCGAAGGCGACUAUCUGGGCCAACACUGACACUGAGACACGAAAGCGUGGGGAGCAAACAGGAUUAGAGACCCGUGUAGUCCCUGUCUCUUAUAC